GACAGAGGAUGCAAGCGUUAUCCGGAAUGAUUGGGCGUAAAGCGUCUGUAGGUGGCUUUUCAAGUCCGCCGUCAAAUCCCAGGGCUCAACCCUGGACAGGCGGUGGAAACUACCAAGCUGGAGUACGGUAGGGGCAGAGGGAAUUUCUGGUGGAGCGGUGAAAUGCGCAGAUAUCAGGAGGAACACCAAUGGCGAAAGCAGCUCGCUGGGACGGUACUGACGCUGAGACGCGAAAGCGUGGGGAGCAAACAGG
rnacentral:rRNA from 1 species